UACGGAGGGGGCUAGCGUUGUUCGGAAUUACUGGGCGUAAAGCGCACGUAGGCGGCUUUGUAAGUUAGAGGUGAAAGCCCGGAGCUCAACUCCGGAACUGCCUUUAAGACUGCAUCGCUAGAAUUGUGGAGAGGUGAGUGGAAUUCCGAGUGUAGAGGUGAAAUUCGUAGAUAUUCGGAAGAACACCAGUGGCGAAGGCGGCUCACUGGACCGGUACUGACGCUGAGGCGCGAAAAGCGUGGGGAGCAACGGG
rnacentral:rRNA from 1 species